rnacentral:rRNA from 1 species
AAAGGAAUUGACGGGGACCCGCACAAGCAGCGGAGCAUGUGGUUUAAUUCGAAGCAACGCGAAGAACCUUACCAGGACUUGACAUCCUCUUGAAAGCUUGGGUAACUCUAGGCCCUCUUCGGACAAGAGAGACAGGUGGUGCAUGGUUGUCGUCAGCUCGUGUCGUGAGAUGUUGGGUUAAGUCCCGCAACGAGCGCAACCCUUGUCGCUAGUUGCCAGCACGCUUAGGUGGGCACUUUAGCGAGACCGCCGGGGACAACUCGGAGGAAGGUGGGGAUGACGUCAAAUCAUCAUGCCCCUUAUGUUCUGGGCUACACACGUGCUACAAUGGCCGGUACAGAGAGCUGCAAGGCUGCGAAGCUGAGCCAAACUCUAAAACCGGUCCCAGUUCGGACUGCAGGCUGCAACUCGCCUGCACGAAGCAGGAGUUGCUAGUAAUCGCGGAUCAGCACGCCGCGGUGAAUGCGUUCCCGGGUCUUGUACACACCGCCCGU